AACGAACGCUGGCGGCAGGCUUAACACAUGCAAGUCGAGCGCCCCGCAAGGGGAGCGGCAGACGGGUGAGUAACGCGUGGGAACGUACCCUUUGCUACGGAAUAGCUCCGGGAAACUGGAAUUAAUACCGUAUGUGCCCUACGGGGGAAAGAUUUAUCGGCAAAGGAUUGGCCCGCGGUGGCGUAGCUAGUUGGUGGGGAAAUGGCCUACCAAGGCGACGAGCCAUCGCUGGUCUGAGAGGAUGAUCAGCCACAUUGGGACUGAGACACGGCCCAAACUCCUACGGGAGGCAGCAGUGGGGAAUAUUGGACAAUGGGCGAAAGCCUGACGCAGCCAUGCCGCGUGAAUGAUGAAGGUCUUAGGAUUGUAAAAUUCUUUCACCGGGGAAGAUAAUGACGGUACCCGGAGAAGAAGCCCCGGCUAACUUCGUGCCAGCAGCCGCAGUAACAC
rnacentral:rRNA from 1 species